rnacentral:rRNA from 1 species
UAGGGAAUCUUCCACAAUGGACGCAAGUCUGAUGGAGCAACGCCGCGUGAGUGAAGAAGGUUUUCGGACCGUAAAGCUCUGUUGUUGGUGAAGAAGGAUAGGGGUAGUAACUGGCCUUUAUUUGACGGUAAUCAACCAGAAAGUCACGGCUAACUACGUGCCAGCAGCCGCGGUAAUACGUAGGUGGCAAGCGUUGUCCGGAUUUAUUGGGCGUAAAGCGAGCGCAGGCGGAAGAAUAAGUCUGAUGUGAAAGCCCUCGGCUUAACCGAGGAAUUGCAUCGGAAACUGUUUUCUUGAGUGCAGAAGAGGAGAGUAGAACUCCAUGUGUAGCGGUGGAAUGCGUAGAUAUAUGGAAGAAUACCAGUGGCGAAGGCGGCUCUCUGGUCUGCAACUGACGCUGAGGCUCGAAAGCAUGGGUAGCGAACAGGAUUAGAUACCCUGGUAGUCCAUGCCGUAAACGAUGAGUGCUAAGUGUUGGGAGGCUUCCGCCUCUCAGUGCUGCAGCUAACGCAUUAAGCACUCCGCCUGGGGGAGUACGACCGCAAGGUUGAAAC